ACUUCUACACGUCGCUACACAGCCCAGAAGACGGUCAUCUUCUAAAGCACAGAGCAAAACGAGUACAGUCACUGUGCAGCGCCUACACUGGUAGUGCCACCGCAGUGAUGAGCUUGUUCAGUGCAGUCGGAAGAUCCGGGUAGGGAAUCACAAGGUCGUCUCCGUUUUAAAUCAGUGCGAUGAAGUGGACACUUCUCUCGCACACACUGCACUAUACAGUGACACGACGUUUCGGCUAAGUCACAAGGAAGCAUGGGAAGACGAUUACGAUUAACACAGAGAUUACAAAGUUAUUUACUGAUGGAAGACAUCAAGGAAAUUUCCUGCUUUCUUUAAAAUGGUGAAGGUAAACGUCCAGCCUCGGUACUAGAUGGAGGUAAAUGGCGAGCUUCAUGCUCCAGCCGCCUCACACAUGCAAGAUUCGCCCCCCCCCCCCAAACGCAUGUUCAGGUGGGAACCGAGUGAUUAAAGGAAUUUUUUUUUCCCACAGGUUUCUGGUAAUUGAACAUUCUUUACUCAGGUCACAUCAGAGAAGAUUACGGGAACUUAAGGUCUAUGAUGUGUUAAUUUCGAACAGUAUCACAAUUAAGAGGUUUUACUUUUUUAUUCGAAAACGAAAUAUAAUAACUGAACUUAUACUAAACUGUAGAACCAUUAUUAGAAAUAAAGAUGAUUACCAUAUCACGAAA